AACGAACGCUGGCGGCAUGCCUAACACAUGCAAGUCGAACGAGACCUUCGGGUCUAGUUGCGCACGGGUGCGUAACGCGUGGGAACCUGCCCUUAGGUUCGGAAUAACUCCCCGAAAGGGGUGCUAAUACCGGAUAAUGUCUUCGGACCAAAGAUUUAUCGCCUUUGGAUGGGCCCGCGUUGGAUUAGCUAGUUGGUAGUGUAAAAGCCUACCAAGGAGACGAUCCCUAGCUGGGCUGAGAGGAUGAGCAGCCACACUGGGACUGAGACACGGCCGAGACUCCUACGGGAGGCAGCAGUGGGGAAUAUUGGACAAUGGGCGAAAGCCUGAUGCAGCAAUGCCGCGUGAGUGAUGAAGGUCUUAGGGUUGUAAAGCUCUUUUACCCGGGACGAUAAUGACAGUACCGGGAGAAUAAGCACCGGCUAACUCCGUG
rnacentral:rRNA from 1 species